rnacentral:siRNA from 1 species
AACAGAUUUAACCGCGGCAACCA